UAUCACCAAAAUUUUACAGACGCAUUUGCACGACCAGAUACCAAAGGAAAUCAAAAGUGAGUAACUUGUCUGUGUUACACAUCUCAAUCAAAAGAAACGCGUCGUUAGUUCAUUGAAAUGCAAAAGAAACAAAAUCUGCUCGAAAAGAAAAACCAUGUCAAAAAUGUGUGUAAAUUAUCAAUCGAUCAAUUGGUGUCUUUUCACAG